rnacentral:rRNA from 1 species
CACAGAGUUAGCCGGUGCUUAUUCUGUGGGUAACGUCAGGGCUUAUGGGUAUUAACCACAAGCUUUUCCUCCCCACUUAAAGUGCUUUACAACCAAAAGGCCUUCUUCACACACGCGGCAUGGCUGGAUCAGGCUUUCGCCCAUUGUCCAAUAUUCCCCACUGCUGCCUCCCGUAGGAGUCUGGGCCGUGUCUCAGUCCCAGUGUGGCUGAUCAUCCUCUCAGACCAGCUACAGAUCGUCGCCUUGGUAGGCCUUUACCCCACCAACCAGCUAAUCCGACUUAGGCUCAUCUAUUAGCGAGAGCUAAAAGCCCCCUUUCACCCGUAGUCGUAUGCGGUAUUAGCGUUAAGUUUCCCUACGUUACUCCCCCACUAAUAGGCAGAUUACCUAAGCAUUACUCACCCGUUCGCCACUAAUCCGUCUAGCAAGCUAGACUUCAUCGUUCGACUUGCAUGUGUUAAGCCUGCCGCCAGCGUUCAAUCUGAGCCAGGA